rfam:Nocardia terpenica strain IFM 0406 genomic scaffold scaffold1, whole genome shotgun sequence.
AGCGCGACCGGGUCCACGCCGCGGGUCACCACCAGGUAGUCCCGGAUGACGAUGGAAUGCCGGUUCUC